UAUCCUACGGGGGGCAGCAGUGGGGAAUAUUGCACAAUGGGCGCAAGCCUGAUGCAGCAACGCCGCGUGAGGGAUGACGGCCUUCGGGUUGUAAACCUCUUUUAGUAGGGAAGAAGCGAAAGUGACGGUACCUGCAGAAAAAGCACCGGCUAACUACGUGCCAGCAGCCGCGGUAAUACGUAGGGUGCAAGCGUUGUCCGGAAUUAUUGGGCGUAAAGAGCUCGUAGGCGGCUUGUCGCGUCUGCUGUGAAAACCCGAGGGUCAACCUCGGGCCUGCAGUGGGGACGGGCAGGCUAGAGUGCGGUAGGGGAGAUUGGAAUUCCUGGUGUAGCGGUGGAAUGCGCAGAUAUCAGGAGGAACACCGAUGGCGAAGGCAGAUCUCUGGGCCGUAACUGACGCUGAGGAGCGAAAGCAUGGGGAGCGAACAGGAUUAGAUACCCCUGUAGUCUGU
rnacentral:rRNA from 1 species